GUAUAAAUAUAUUAAUAUUUUUCUAGUUAACAAUUUUAUUCAAACUUUAUUUUUUCCCUCAAAAAAAAACUCAAGCCUAUCACUCAAACAAACUGUAAUUGAUAUGCCUUUAUUAAUAAUUUAUCUAUUCUAAUUGUUAAAUAAUACAUUGCAUAGUAAAAGUUGCCGAAGAAAAUAACGCCGUACUUUCAGUUCACAAAAAUAUUCGGACAUAUUUUAUAUUUAUUUGUUUAUCUCCUUCUGGCAACCCGAUAUUCCAAGAAAGCAGAAAAAUCUCUAUUUCUCAAUAGUAAAAAUGACCUCGUCUAAAAUAAGUCGCAAAAGAAAUAAUAUGGCAUUCAACAUGCUGCAAUUUAUAAUUUUCCACCGGAAAAAGGAAAGAAUCUAUCGUGAAACUGAUGCUAUGCUCCAUAUAAGCAAAAAUAUUCGACGAUUUUAUUUCGAGGAUCGCAUGGAAUCUAUUCCACAAACUGGAAGACUAAGUCUCUUAAGUACGAAGGAGAAAAACAGAAUUAUUCAAAAGAGAAAGAAAAUCUGCAAAUAAAUGCCUCAAAAAUAGUUAGUGAGGUAUUAGAAGCAAGCUACGAAAACGUCGCAAUUGGAACAGUUCAAAGAAUUAUCAGACAAGCUGGAAACAAUGGAAGAGUAACCAAAAAACAAUUUUUUAUGAAUGAGGAUAGGGAGAAAUAAGUGAAUUUUAUAAAAGAGCUAAUUUCUAAGAAUGAUUCAUGGUGGAAAGAUGUAGUAUUUAUUAACAAAAGCAAAUUCAACCAUUAUAGGAAUGGAAGAACUUUGGUAUGGCAAAAACUGAUUAAAAAAUUCUACUUUAAGAAUACAAGAGGUACAGUGAAACACAGGGAAGCUAGGUGUAAUGGUCCAGGGCUGUAUUUCAUCAUACGAAGUUGAAAACUUGAUGACAACACUAUGGAUAAAAAUCUUUACUUAAACAUAUGUAAAAACAAUUUAGUUCAAUAUGUAAAAAAAAAAAAAAAAAAAAAGGAAUUCAUAAUAGCUAUAAGUUUUAUCAAUACAUCCAUAAGAUGAAUUACAUAGAAUAAUUUGGAAAACUGCAAUUUCUUCAAUAGCGGAAUUAGAAAAAUGACUCGAAAAUGAAUGGUCAUACGUAACUGUAGAAUAUUUAAAAAGAAAAUAUAAAUAAUAUGUCAAACAGAUUAAAACGUGUUCUAAAACAAAAUGGUUUCUCAUCAUGAAGUAUUAGAAUUAUUUUAUAAUACUAAAUUAUAUUAAAUAAAUCAUAAAAAUAAUUCUUAUUAAUAAUAAUAAAUGAUCUGUUAUUAAGAAACUAACCAGGGUGAUUACUUUAUAAAUAACUGAAAUAUCAAGCCAUGAAGUUAGUCAUAUUGUAAUAUUAUCAUAGUAAUCAUCCAAAUAUUUUCGGAAGUCACUAUAUUAAAUCUAUGUUUUGACUUUACACAGUUUUUAUUGUAUAUAUUGAUAUAUAAAUAUUGAUAAUUUUGAAUAUUGGAGGAGAAAAUGAGAAAAAUGGAGAUUAGUGAGAAACUAAUUUGAAGGAUAAAAGAGUUGUAUGCAGAAACAAAGAAUGUGGUAAGAAUCAAGAACCACAACACAAAAGAAUUUUGGGCAGUGAGGGGAGUCAGACAAGGGUGCCCGUUGAGCCCGACGUUAUUCAACAUCUACGUGGCAGGACUGGAAGAAGAGUUAAGGAAAGGACAAGCUGGGGGCAUAGUGGUAGGAGAGAGAAAGGUAUGGUUAUUGACAUAUGCAGACGAUAUUGUGCUGAUGGCGGAUAGAGAAGAGGAGCUAAAGGAAAUGCUAAAGAGAUUCAAAAAAUUUUUAAAGGAAACCAAAUUGGAACUGAGCACGGAAAAGACCAAGAUAGUAGUUUUCGACAAAAGAAAAAACAAGAGGAGACAAAGAAAAUGGAAAUGGGGAGAGCGAGAAUUAGAAGAAGUGGACGAGAUAAGAUACCUAGGGUACAUACUACAGAAAAACGGCAGUUAUGAGAAACACAUAUAAGACAGGAAAAAGAGAGCAACAAUAGUAAUGAAGAAAACAUGGAGCAUGGAAGAAAGAAUUUUCAAACAGGACUACAAGAAGAGAAUAAAGAUAUUUGGAGCAUUGGUAGAGGGCGUAACGGUAUUUGGAGCAGAGGUAUGACGCUGGAACAUGGAAGACUGGAUAGAAUACAAAGAAAAUAUGUGAAAUGGAUCUUAGAUUUAGAUAUGACAACACCAAAUUAUAUAUUGAUAGAAGAAUGCAAGCUAACAGAAAUCAAAGAAAAAGCAUUAAGAAGAGCAACAAGGUAUGAAGGGAAAUCCAUAGAAUCAAAAAAGGAACUAGUAAAGGAGUGCAUAAAGGAAAGAGAGAGAAACUGAGGAAAUGGUCAAGAAGGGAAAAGAGCAAGAAGGAGAAAGAAGGGACUAGAAGAGGUGAGAAAUGGAGGGACACAGAUGGAAGCAGGAGAAGAGCAAGAAAGGAUGACAGUAGACCAAAUUAUAGAAGAAAGAAGAAAGAGAGAAGCAGAAGAGAGGGGGAAAAGGAUAAGGGAAUCCAAAUAUUACAUUAUAGAAAAAUCGCCAAAAAAAGAGUUACCAAAAUACUCAGAAGGGAGGAUGAAAUGGAAGGACAGAAAAAUAUUAGCAAGAUUCAGAUGUGGAAACGAGACCAAAGCAAGGAAAUACUGGAAAGAAGAGGGAGAAAAAAGAUGCAGGCUAUGUAAGAGGAAAGAUGCAGGCUAUGUAAAAGGAAAGAUGCAGACUAUGUAAAAGGAAAGAAGACCUGAGACAUGUAAUAGAAGAAUGCGAAAUAACAGGAAGACCAAAGGACACAGAAAAAAUACUAAACGAGAUUGGAGAAGGACUAACAGAACUAAAAACAAUAAUGGAGAAGAGAAGGGCAAUACAAGACAGAGAGGAACGACAAUAAGGAAGCACAGCAAGGAGGCAAAAUUCCAAAAGUUGCCAUAGUUUUAGAGACAGAAUAAUUAAGAGAGUGCAAUAUAAUAGAGUGGAUAAGAGGGGAGAUAGAUAUAUAAGAAGUGAAAUAGGUAAACGAGAUGUAAAACCAAAAGCUCGUCCAAAGCCAAAAGGCACAGACUAAGCAAUAAUAAAUAAAUAAAUAAUAUAGUGUA